rnacentral:lncRNA from 1 species
GGUUCACUGCAAACUUUGGAAUUGAUUUUGUUAUUUCGGUUGACACAGGGGCAAAUUGAAAAGAGUCAGGGUGAUAUUGUUGCAGACAAGGAUGUUAUCAUUCGUCGUUCAUGGUUGAAUGGUGCGAAACAUAUGUUACGCUGAUACAGACAGAGCCACAGCAUCGGCAGUCCUUAUAUUGUGGGUUUGGUAUGUAAUAUACAAUUUCUUUUACCUAAAGCUAUGAAUCACCGACACGCCCACUGAAUCUAAUUAUGACGUCACUUCCGGUCCGCGGGGCUUAUUUCGCUACUUCCUUACGCUUUGACUUUUGAC